rnacentral:rRNA from 1 species
GCCGGAGGAAGUGGGAUGAUGUCAAGUCAGCACUUGGCCUUUAUGGGUAGGGCUUCACACGUCAUACAAUGGUCGGUACAGAGGGUUGCCAAGCCGCGAGGUGGAGCCAAUCCCUUAAAGCCGAUCGUAGUCCGGAUCGUAGUCUGCAACUCGACUACGUGAAGUCGGAAUCGCUAGUAAUCGCAGAUCAGCAUGCUGCGGUGAAUACGUUCCCGGGUCUU